ensembl:lncRNA
GGCGCGGCACGCGCCGUCCAAUCAGCUCUCGGUGUCCAGCAGCCACAACUCGUUGGAGGGGGAGGUGCCGGUCUCCGACAUCUACUUUUAUGCAGACGGCCGCUACUGGGUGUACUCUCCAGUUCUUGGCCGCCGUAAGCUAAACUCUAGCUCGAGUUACAAUCAAAGUCAGGAGGACAGGAGCUGGGUGUAUUCUCCCCUUCACUCCGGCUCAGAGUCCAGAAGGGACUCUGGCGGGGAGAGUGAUAAACAGUAGCAGUUGGGUUCAUGUCUUUAUUGGAAAUGAAAAUCUUGGGGCUCAAGACAAGACACUCCUAAACUCAGUUUGGGAUGGACUUUUUUUAACGCUGGUAUCCCAAAUCACACGUGAAUUCCUAUAUGUGCAAUGCAAGUAUGCAGUGACAUGUUUACAAACAUAUAAAAACACCUGUGCGCAGGUUUGCUGCAUUAUAUCGCAAAAAAAAUACUCAAUAAUAAUAUUUU